AGGAUGAUCAGCCACACCGGGACUGAGACACGGCCCGGACUCCUACGGGAGGCAGCAGUGGGGAAUCUUGGACAAUGGGGGCAACCCUGAUCCAGCCAUGCCGCGUGUGUGAAGAAGGCCUUCGGGUUGUAAAGCACUUUCAGUAGGGAGGAAGGCUUACCGCUAAUAACGGUGAGUACUUGACGUUACCUACAGAAGAAGCACCGGCUAAUUUCGUGCCAGCAGCCGCGGUAAUACGAAAGGUGCGAGCGUUAAUCGGAAUUACUGGGCGUAAAGCGCGCGUAGGCGGUUUGUUAAGUCAGAUGUGAAAGCCCCGGGCUCAACCUGGGAAUUGCAUUUGAAACUGGCAGGCUAGAGUGCAGUAGAGGGAGGUGGAAUUUCCGGUGUAGCGGUGAAAUGCGUAGAGAUCGGAAGGAACACCAGUGGCGAAGGCGGCCUCCUGGACUGACACUGACGCUGAGGUGCGAAAGCGUG
rnacentral:rRNA from 1 species